rnacentral:lncRNA from 1 species
AUGGAGGUGGUAAUGUGGUGGUGCUUACUGAUCGGUGUUGAAGUGACAGUUGAUGAUUCUGGGCUUGUUGUUGUGGCACCAGGGACUGAGGUGGUACUUUCAAUAACCCUUGUGGUGGAACUGGUCACUGGGCCAGUGGUGGUCCUUUCUGGUUGGGUUGUUUCAGCACUUCCUGUUGUUCCCUUAGUUGUGGAUGGAGGUGGUAAUGUGGUGGUGCUUACUGAUGGUGUUGAAGUGACAGUUGAUGAUUCUGGGCUUGUUGUUGUGGCACCAGGGACUGAGGUGGUACUUUCAAUAACCCUUGUGGUGGAACUGGUCACUGGGCCAGUGGUGGUCCUUUCUGGUUGGGUUGUUUCAGCACUUCCUGUUGUUCCCUUAGUUGUGGAUGGAGGUGGUAAUGUGGUGGUGCUUACUGAUGGUGUUGAAGUGACAGUUGGUGAUUCUGGGCUUGUUGUUGUGGCACCAGGGACUGAGGUGGUACUUUCAAUAACCCUUGUGGUGGAACUGGUCACUGGGCCAGUGGUGGUCCUUUCUGGUCGGGUUGUUUCAGCACUACUGGUUGUUCCUUUAGUUGUGGGUACAGGUGGUAAUGUGGUGGUGCUUACUGAUGGUGUUGAAGUGACAGUUGAUGAUUCUGGGCUUGUUGUUGUGGCACCAGGGACUGAGGUGGUACUUUCAAUAACCCUUGUGGUGGAACUGGUCACUGGGCCAGUGGUGGUCCUUUCUGGUUGGGUUGUUUCAGCACUUCCUGUUGUUCCCUUAGUUGUGGAUGGAGGUGGUAAUGUGGUGGUGCUUACUGAUGGUGUUGAAGUGACAGUUGGUGAUUCUGGGCUUGUUGUUGUGGCACCGGGGACUGAGGUGGUAGUUUCAACGAUUGUGGUGGAGCUGGUCACUGGGCCAGUGGUGGUCCUUUCUGGUUGGGUUGUUUCAGCACUUCCUGUUGUUCCCUUAGUUGUGGAUGGAGGUGGUAAUGUGGUGGUGCUUACUGAUGGUGUUGAAGUGACAGUUGGUGAUUCUGGGCUUGUUGUUGUGGCACCAGGGACUGAGGUGGUAGUUUCAACAACGCUUGUGGUGGAACUGGUCACUGGGCCAGUGGUGGUCCUUUCUGGUUGGGUUGUUUCAACACUAACUGUUGUUUCUUUAGUUGUGGAUGCAGGUGGUAAUGUGGUGGUGCUUACUGAUGGUGUUGAAGUGACAGUUGGUGAUUCUGGGCUUGUUGUUGUGGCACCAGGGACUGAGGUGGUAGUUUCAACAACGCUUGUGGUGGAGCUGGUCACUGGGCCAGUGGUGGUCCUUUCUGGUUGGGUUGUUUCAGCAGUAACUGUUGUUCCUUUAGUUGUGGAUGCAGGUGGUAAUGUGGUGGUGCUUACUGAUGGUGUUGAAGUGACAGUUGGUGAUUCUGGGCUUGUUGCUUUUGUGCUAAAUGUAAAGGGCGUUGUCGUAGGACCAAGGGUCGUCGUUGAGAAGCAUGGGUAUUGUGACCGUAUGAUUGUUCCAUUAGCCCCACAUUAG